GAUGCGUUGGUCAGAUAAUGUUUGACCCGUUGCAGUCGCAGCUGACAUGAGGUUGGAUAAGGUGACAAUGCCG
rnacentral:pre_miRNA from 1 species